UCGAGCGAAUGGAUUAAGAGCUUGCUCUUAUGAAGUUAGCGGCGGACGGGUGAGUAACACGUGGGUAACCUGCCCAUAAGACUGGGAUAACUCCGGGAAACCGGGGCUAAUACCGGAUAACAUUUUGAACCGCAUGGUUCGAAAUUGAAAGGCGGCUUCGGCUGUCACUUAUGGAUGGACCCGCGUCGCAUUAGCUAGUUGGUGAGGUAACGGCUCACCAAGGCAACGAUGCGUAGCCGACCUGAGAGGGUGAUCGGCCACACUGGGACUGAGACACGGCCCAGACUCCUACGGGAGGCAGCAGUAGGGAAUCUUCCGCAAUGGACGAAAGUCUGACGGAGCAACGCCGCGUGAGUGAUGAAGGCUUUCGGGUCGUAAAACUCUGUUGUUAGGGAAGAACAAGUGCUAGUUGAAUAAGCUGGCACCUUGACGGUACCUAACCAGAAAGCCACGGCUAACUACGUGCCAGCAGCCGCGGUAAUACGUAUAUGGCAAGCGUUAUCCGGAAUUAUUGGGCGUAAAGCGCGCGCAGGUGGUUUCUUAAGUCUGAUGUGAAAGCCCACGGCUCAACCGUGGAGGGUCAUUGGAAACUGGGAGACUUGAGUGCAGAAGAGGAAAGUGGAAUUCCAUGUGUAGCGGUGAAAUGCGUAGAGAUAUGGAGGAACACCAGUGGCGAAGGCGACUUUCUGGUCUGUAACUG
rnacentral:rRNA from 1 species